AAGACCGUAGCAACGAGAUCUGAAUCUGAUCUUUAGAAGAUCGUCCAACUGAACGUAGCGAUUCAAGCUGUGAAGAUCAAGAGGGGUGUCCCCGAAAACUGGAUCCCCAACUGAACGUGAAGCACCCCUUACUUUCAUUCCACUGUCCCGGUAACCCUUAUUACGAUUCAUAAACAGGUUUGCCAGGGGAAGUGGAGGGGCGACACGUGCCCGUUUCGCACGUGUGUACAUACGCAGUUACUAGUCUUUGUGCUCGCGUCCAUUCUCCCACCGGAUGCUGGACGCAAAAUCAAUAGGAAACUCCGUGCCACGCGUUACGCCGUGCACGUGGAUUUGUGUACGGUUUUAAUUAUCCUCAGAUGCAGGUAUGAGUUCACGUGGCACUUGACCGUCGCCAUUGCGGCAUUCGCGACGAUCAGAUGUUCGACGAUAAGAUUCCACACACGGUUCGCGGAAAGUGCACAGCCUAGGGCAAACGAAGCGAUCGCCAUCGAGAUCAGCCAGCUGAUAAAACUAGCCGACAUGACCGGCGGUUUCAAUGCCGGUGAGUAGUAUGAUGACCAAACUCGUUGCCACCAUUGAUACGACACUUGUCUGUACUCCGAUUCCUGCAAAACACGCAAUCUCUCCUAACCGCAAACUAGAUAUAAGCAGUAAAUGUAUAUAAGCAGUAAAUAGCCAGGAGUAAAUAGAAAAUGGCAGCUGGUGUCGGGUUGUAUAAUCUACUCACGUAACUCCAAGUGUACCAAACGCAGCAGUAGAGCAGCCUUUGUAGCGUCAGCCAGAGCCACAAAACCGCGAUGGCGACGAUCCAGCUGACCACCAGCUUCAAACACCUUUGUACAACAUCGUCGACGCCAUGGCUUGCGCCAGGCCGUUGCACGAGGGCGGAUUCCUCCAGAGGACGAUCGCCACAGAGGCGAGGACCAGGAACGAGGGUACGGUGUGGACGAAGUCCGGACCGACGGCGAUCUUGGCAUACUCUCGGAACACCUUGUGCUGGAGGAACAGGAUCUCGUGCGGCACCGAGAGCAAGGUCACCACU